rnacentral:rRNA from 1 species
UACAGAGGUCUCAAGCGUUGUUCGGAUUCAUUGGGCGUAAAGGGCGCGUAGGUGGGUUGGUAAGUCAGUGGUGAAAUCCCCGAGCUUAACUUGGGAACUGCCAUUGAUACUAUCAGUCUUGAAUACCGUGGAGGUCGGCGGAAUAUGUCAUGUAGCGGUGAAAUGCUUAGAUAUGACAUAGAACACCAAUUGCGAAGGCAGCUGACUACGCGAGUAUUGACACUGAGGCACGAAAGCGUGGGGAUCAAACAGG